rnacentral:sRNA from 1 species
UGACUGGAGGGAAAGCCACAGUUGUUGC